rnacentral:rRNA from 1 species
AUUGAACGCUGGCGGCAGGCCUAACACAUGCAAGUCGAGCGGAUGAGUGGAGCUUGCUCCAUGAUUCAGCGGCGGACGGGUGAGUAAUGCCUAGGAAUCUGCCUGGUAGUGGGGGACAACGUUUCGAAAGGAACGCUAAUACCGCAUACGUCCUACGGGAGAAAGCAGGGGACCUUCGGGCCUUGCGCUAUCAGAUGAGCCUAGGUCGGAUUAGCUAGUAGGUGAGGUAAUGGCUCACCUAGGCGACGAUCCGUAACUGGUCUGAGAGGAUGAUCAGUCACACUGGAACUGAGACACGGUCCAGACUCCUACGGGAGGCAGCAGUGGGGAAUAUUGGACAAUGGGCGCAAGCCUGAUCCAGCAAUGCCGCGUG